rnacentral:pre_miRNA from 1 species
GGAAACUUGGAAACUACAGUUGGAUCGAGAAAUGGACGUCUGAAAUUCUUCCACGUCACCCUUGAGUUAAAAUUUAACUCGCGGAUUCACUCAUGAGUUCAUAUUUUACUGGGAGUUAAAUUUUAACUCACGAUGACGUGGAUGAAUCUCAGACGUCCAUUUCUCGAUCCAACGGUAGUUUCCAAGUUUCU